AUUGAACGCUGGCGGCAUGCCUUACACAUGCAAGUCGAACGGUAACGGGUCCUUCGGGAUGCCGACGAGUGGCGAACGGGUGAGUAAUAUAUCGGAACGUGCCCAGUAGUGGGGGAUAACUGCUCGAAAGAGCAGCUAAUACCGCAUACGACCUGAGGGUGAAAGGGGGGGAUCGCAAGACCUCUCGCUAUUGGAGCGGCCGAUAUCAGAUUAGCUAGUUGGUGGGGUAAAGGCCUACCAAGGCAACGAUCUGUAGUUGGUCUGAGAGGACGACCAGCCACACUGGGACUGAGACACGGCCCAGACUCCUACGGGAGGCAGCAGUGGGGAAUUUUGGACAAUGGGCGCAAGCCUGAUCCAGCAAUGCCGCGUGCAGGAAGAAGGCCUUCGGGUUGUAAACUGCUUUUGUCAGGGAAGAAAUCUUCUGGGCUAAUACCCCGGGAGGAUGACGGUACCUGAAGAAUAAGCACCGGCUAACUACGUGCCAGCAGCCGCGGUAAUACGUAGGGUGCGAGCGUUAAUCGGAAUUACUGGGCGUAAAGCGUGCGCAGGCGGCUUUGCAAGACAGAUGUGAAAUCCCCGGGCUCAACCUGGGAACUGCAUUUGUGACUGCAAGGCUAGAGUACGGCAGAGGGGGAUGGAAUUCCGCGUGUAGCAGUGAAAUGCGUAGAUAUGCGGAGGAACACCAAUGGCGAAGGCAAUCCCCUGGGCCUGUACUGACGCUCAUGCACGAAAGCGUGGGGAGCAAACAGGAUUAGAUACCCUGGUAGUCCACGCCCUAAACGAUGUCAACUGGUUGUUGGACGGCUUGCUGUUCAGUAACGAAGCUAACGCGUGAAGUUGACCGCCUGGGGAGUACGGCCGCAAGGUUGAAACUCAAAGGAGUUGACGGGGACCCGCACAAGCGGUGGAUGAUGUGGUUUAAUUCGAUGCAACGCGAAAAACCUUACCUACCCUUGACAUGUCAAGAAUUCUGCAGAGAUGUGGAAGUGCUCGAAAGAGAACUUGAACACAGGUGCUGCAUGGCCGUCGUCAGCUCGUGUCGUGAGAUGUUGGGUUAAGUCCCGCAACGAGCGCAACCCUUGUCAUUAGUUGCUACGCAAGAGCACUCUAAUGAGACUGCCGGUGACAAACCGGAGGGAGGUGGGGAUGACGUCAGGUCCUCAUGGCCCUUAUGGGUAGGGCUACACACGUCAUACAAUGGCCGGUACAGAGGGCUGCCAACCCGCGAGGGGGAGCCAAUCCCAGAAAACCGGUCGUAGUCCGGAUCGUAGUCUGCAACUCGACUGCGUGAAGUCGGAAUCGCUAGUAAUCGCGGAUCAGCUUGCCGCGGUGAAUACGUUCCCGGGUCU
rnacentral:rRNA from 1 species